UGGUGAUUGUUUUGAAGAAGGCGGAAGUGUUCGCCGAAACUGUCAACAAGCGAGUUUGUUAGGGAAUUGGGAUCAGAGCGCAGGGAUAGCCAUGAUACAGCGCCCCCUGGAGCAGAGAGGAUUAGGGGCCUUGCUCAAGGGCCCAACAGUGGCAGCUUGGUGGUGUUGGGGCUGGAACCCCUUGAUCUUCAGAUCAGUAACCCAGAGCCUUAACCGUUGAGCCACCACUGCCCGCAAUGCCAUGAGGGUCGCGGGCAAGCUGGACCCUAUCCCAGCUGACUGUGGGCAAGAGGCGGGGUACACCCUGAACAAGUCGCCAGAUCAUCGCAGGGCUGACCCAUAGAGACAAAUAACCAUUCACACUCACACCUAGAGCCACCAAUUGACCUUUGGACUGUGGGGGAAAAUGGAACACCGGAGGAAUCCCACGCAGGCACGGGGAGAACAUGCAAACUCCACACAGAAAGACCCCCAUCAGCCACUGGGAUUGAACCCAGAACCUUCUUGCUGUGAGGCGACAGUGCUAACCACUACGCCACCGUGUUGCCCAAUAUACUGCAUGAGAUUUAGAAACUUGAAAAGAUCAGUGAUCUACAUCCUUUAGAAGCUCUGGAUUUAAAACAAUGAUGUACAUGUGGUUCGACAGAACAUCCCUUAAUAACAGGAUUAUUGAGCACACUGUUAAAAUGGAAAAAUGCAGCCAUUGUCAGUUUAUAGCCUGUGUUUCUGAUUUCACCUGGGUGUGGGUUGUUAAUUUAAUUCUGUAUGAGUACGGAACUGUAUAGCUACACCACAGUAAGAGAACAGUAGGACAAACAGAGUGUUUUCUUUUACAUUUGGCUGGAGCUUGGAGGCUGUUUCUUUCCUACACCACCUGUCUAUAUGACUUGCCCUGUCAUUAAAUGCAGACCAGCUUUUCCUUCUUUCUCCCAUUAAAUCCGUGCAUCUGCCUAACUGAGGUCUAGUGUUUUUCUAACACCCCCUU